rnacentral:rRNA from 1 species
AUUGAACGCUGGCGGCAUGCCUUACACAUGCAAGUCGAACGGUAACAGGUUUUCGGAUGCUGCCGAGUGGCGAACGGGUGCGUAAUACAUCGGAACGUGCCCAGACGUGGGGGAUAACGAGGGGAAAGCUUUGCUAAUACCGCAUACGAUCUAAGGCUGAAAGCAGGGGACCGCAAGGGCUUGCGCGAUUGGAGCGGCCGGUGGCGGAUUAGGUAGGUGGGGGGAUAAAAGCUUACCAAGCCGACGAUCGGUAGCUGGUCUGAGAGGACGACCAGCCACACUGGGACUGAGACACGGCCCAGACUCCUACGGGAGGCAGCAGUGGGGAAUUUUGGACAAUGGGCGAAAGCCUGAUCCAGCAAUGCCGCGUGCAGGAUGAAGGCCUUCGGGUUGUAAACUGCUUUUGUACGGAACGAAAAGGCGCUGGCUAAUACCUGGGGCACAUGACGGUACCGUAAGAAUAAGCACCGGCUAACUACGUG